rnacentral:rRNA from 1 species
AACGAACGCUGGCGGCAUGCCUAACACAUGCAAGUCGAACGAGACCUUCGGGUCUAGUGGCGCACGGGUGCGUAACGCGUGGGAACCUGCCCUUAGGUUCGGAAUAACUCCCCGAAAGGGGUGCUAAUACCGGAUAAUGUCUUCGGACCAAAGAUUUAUCGCCUUUGGAUGGGCCCGCGUUGGAUUAGCUAGUUGGUAGGGUAAAAGCCUACCAAGGCGACGAUCCAUAGCUGGUCUGAGAGGAUGAUCAGCCACACUGGGACUGAGACACGGCCCAGACUCCUACGGGAGGCAGCAGUGGGGAAUAGUGGACAAUGGGCGAAAGCCUGAUCCAGCAAUGCCGCGUGAGUGAUGAAGGACUUAGGGUUGUAAAGCUCUUUUACCCGGGAUGAUAAUGACAGUACCGGGAGAAUAAGCUCCGGCUAACUCCGUG